rnacentral:rRNA from 1 species
UACGGAGGGGACUAGCGUUGUUCGGAAUUACUGGGCGUAAAGCGCACGUAGGCGGCUUUGUAAGUCAGGGGUGAAAUCCCGGGGCUCAACCUCGGAACUGCCUUUGAUACUGCAAAUCUCGAGUCCGGAAGAGGUGAGUGGAAUUCCUAGUGUAGAGGUGAAAUUCGUAGAUAUUAGGAAGAACACCGGUGGCGAAGGCGGCUCACUGGCCCGGUACUGACGCUGAGGUGCGAAAGCGUGGGGAGCAAACGGG